rnacentral:rRNA from 1 species
GACGAACGCUGGCGGCGUGCUUAACACAUGCAAGUCGAACGGAAAGGCCUCUUUCGGGGGGUACUCGAGUGGCGAACGGGUGAGUAACACGUGAGUAACCUGCCCUUGACUUUGGGAUAACUUCAGUAAACUGGGGCUAAUACCGGAUAGGAGCUCCUGCUGCAUGGUGGGGGUUGGAAAGUUUCGGCGGUUGGGGAUGGACUCGCGGCUUAUCAGCUUGUUGGUGGGGUAGUGGCUUACCAAGGCUUUGACGGGUAGCCGGCCUGAGAGGGUGACCGGCCACAUUGGGACUGAGAUACGGCCCAGACUCCGACGGGAGGCAGCAGGGGGGAAUAUUGCACAAUGGGUGGAAGCCUGAUGCAGCAACGCCGUGGGCGGGAGGACGGCCUUCGGGUUGUAAACCGCUUUCGCUCAUGACGAAGCUUUGUGUGACGGUAGUGGGUAAAGAAGCACCGGCUAACUACGUG